UUUAUUUGUGUAUUGACAAAAUGGUAAAAAAAAUGUUGAGAUUUCUCAAAUUUGAUUUAAUGGUUUUCUAACACUUACAUUUUCAAUUCUAAGAAGCAAUUAAUUUAACUUUACAGAUUUUUCAUUUUAUAAAACAGCUGCAACAGUAUAACGAAUGCACAUUUUUUAUUUAUACUCUUUAAAUAAAGACAUGUUAAAAUGUGUUUUAUUCUUAGUACAAACAUAUAGAAUGAAAUUCA
rnacentral:lncRNA from 1 species